GCUGUUCUGUGUAAGAAACACAACGAAAAGGAACAUCUUUCACGUCUAGCACCAGAAUUUAGUAACUCCUACUAUGAUACCUGGUUCCUCUCGCACAUGUACCAGCUCCUCCUUUGGCAUAUAGAGAUAGUAUAACCUUGUCUGCUACUCUAUCUUUUCUAUUUAAACUAUGUUCCAGGAAUAGGAAAUGUGUUAUUCACCAGAGUCAUCUACAUAGCAGAGCCCUGAUUUUGUUUGAUGAAACUUGGUUUACAUAUGCAUGAAAUGCAGCCCGGUGAUGAAGGUGGUGAGAGUCCCUCUCUAUUUUGCACUUGUGAGGCACCCAUCUGGUGAACUGCAUCUAGGCCUGGGGCCCCCAACAGAAGGAACGAUGCGGAGCUUUUGGAGAGGCUCCAGAGGAAGGCCAUGAACAUCAGAGGGCUGGAGCACCUCUCCGGUGAAGACAGGCUGAGGGAGCUGGACUUGUUCAAGAAGGCUGUGGGGAGACCUUAUUGUGGCCUUGUGAUAUUUAAAAGGGAGAUUAUAAACAGGAAGGAAAUCAACUUUUUACAUGGGUAGAUAGUGACUGGACAAGGGAGAAUGGUUUUAAACUAAAGAAGGAAAGAUUUAGAUUAGAUGUCAGGGGGAAGUUUUUUUUUACAGAGAGGGUGGUGCUUGCACAGGCUGCCCAGAGAGGCUGUAGAUGCCUCAUCUAUGGUGUUCAAGGCCAGUUUGGAAGCAGCCCUGGUCAAUCUGAAUUAGUACAUAAUCUAGUAGUUGGCAACUUUGCCUGUGGUAGGGGGCAGUUGGAACCUGAUGAUUCUUGAGGUCCCUUCUAACCCAAGCCAUUCUAUGAUUCUGUGAUCCUAUGAUUUCUUUGUGGGUCUAGCCCAAGACUGCACAGAAGGUCUGCAGCAGUGGAUAACCAAACCCUUAAACACCAGUAAAGUGUCUAGAGGAAAACUGCAUUGUUCUGUGUAUGUUUUCAGCAAACCUUAUCUUGAUUUCACACAGAGACACCGGGUGAUACAUGGAAAUUAAUAAGAAACAUCAAGCUGAUUGUUUUAAGGACCAGACCAUGAAGAGGGCAAAAACAAACAAACAACAACAACAACAACAAAACACUAAAGUAAACUCUGAAUUCCUUUCAGCCAUGUCAGUCUGAAAUGUGAGCUAGAAUCAGGGGUUGUUUAAAAUAUUAAUGCUAUCUAAUAUAGAGUGCCACAUUCUUCCCCCUAAGAUGCCAGGGAAUUGUACUGUACUGCCAGGGAACUGUGUAUUGAGAAAUAGUAAAUUACUCAAGAGAGGAAUUAGUCUUUGGAAACAACUCACUAGCUGUUGCCAUUGUUUAGUAUUUUCCUUGUCACAGGGUACAAAGUAAGUAUCUGUGGAACAUAGGAAAUAUCCUGCAGUAUUUCAGCAUUAAAAAUGUCAAUAUUUUGAAGUAUCUUGGCUUUUCUAAGAAAGCCUGACUGGAGGAUAAUUUUGUUUUAGCUGAAUUCUUUAUCACUGGUGAAGGAUGAGCUGCUAAAGAAAGGUGGGGGUUUUGCUGUUGUUGUUGUUUUUUUUCAGAUUUGUAGCCAAACAAAGCCAAACAAUCUUAUACAAUUCCAUUAACCAUAUUAUUAAGGAAGAAAAAAAACCACUCUUUUUUGAUAGCAUAUUUUGUUUUUAUUCCCUAUUCUUUCCUGUUUAAUUUUUUCUGCAGAUUGUACAAUUUAAUAUUUGUUGCUUGCAAAACCAAUGUUUUAUAAUGGUAUUGAAAAAAUACUUGCAUGAUAUUUUUUUAAUCAGAUUUAAUGAAUGAUUAAGACUAAACUGUAUGUCACAGGCAGCAGAGGGGCUGCUCCAGUUGUUUGCAUCCUAGUAGUCAUUUUAUGUGGAUCAUAUGUUUCAGUCACCAGACAGCAGAAUCAAGGCAGGAGUGUGUAAGUAGUUAAAAUGCUAGUUACUUGCUUUGAACAAAUUCAUUGGGCAUGCCCAGGCCAGAAUUUUCUUGCAUAGUUUUGUCUAGAGGACAGUAAACUGGUAGCUUUUAAAACAUCACACACAUUUAAAUCCUCAUGUAAACAAAUGGAACCAAGUUUUUGUACAAAACAACUGGGUUAGAUAAAUACUGUUCUGGAUGGAAGGUUUUCACUAUGCAUCCAGCAGUAUAAAAUUUUUCACAAUAUUGAAACUCCAUCCCUUUUGCUUAGUUUUCUGUUCUGUUACAAAUAAAUGUUCAUCAUGCAUUAGAAAGUUUGCUAAACGUUGUGCCCUUUUGUCAUAAACCUUGGCUCAAGUUUCUACAUAUGCUAGUAGAUUUAUAUUUGGAUAAUCUCGUCUGGCUAAACCUUAUGUUACUCUUUGUUUGAACACAAAGACUCCAGCCUUCAUAUUUACCAGAAUUAGUUUGAGGUUAAGCUCAGAGAUUCUUAGGGCCUGGCAGCCCCUUCGAAACAACGCUUAAAAAAAAUAUAUAUAUACAUAUAUAUAUA